CACCUGGAAUACAUUUCAAUUAAUAGUUGUGCCUUGUUAAAAGUUAAUUUUUGAAAUGUAUUUUCCUUCUUUUUUGAGCCAAUCAGUUGUGUUUUGACAAGGUAGAGAUGGUAUACAGAAGAUAGCCUUUUUGGGUAGAAGACCAAGUCCAUAUUAUGUCAAGAACAGCUCAAAUAAGUGAAAUGACAGUCUAUCAUUACUUGAAGACAUGAAGGUCAGUCAAUCCGGAAAAUGUUAAGAACUUUUAAAGUUUCUUCCCCUGCAGUUGCAAAAACCAUCAGCCGCUAUGAUGAAACUGUCACUCAUGAGGACCGCCACAGGAAAGGAAGACCCAGAGUUACCUCUGCUGCAGAGGAUAAGUUCAUUAGAGUUAACUGCAGCCCAAAUAAAUGCUUCACAGAGUUCAAUUAACAGACAUCUCAACAUCAACUGUUCAGAGGAGACUGCGUGAGGCCUUCAUGGUUGAAUUGCUGCAAAGAAACCACUACUAAAGGACACCAAUGAAAAUAAGAGACUUGCUUGGGCCAAGAAACACGAGCAAUGGACAUUAGACUGGUGGAAGUCUGUCCUUUGGGCUAAUGAGUCUCAUGAAUUUUUGAUUUUUGGUUCCAACCGCCAUGUCUUUGUGAGACGCAGAGUUGGUGAACAGAUGAUCUCUGCAUGUGUGGUUCCCACCUUGAAGCAUAGAGAUGUGAUGGUAUGGUUGUGCUUUGCUGGUGACACGGACAAUGAAACAACACACCUCCAGGCUGUGGAAGGAGUAUUUGACUAAGAAGGAGAGUGAUGGAGUGCUGCAUCAGAUUACCUGGCCUCCACAAUCACCUACCCUCAACCCAAUUGAGAUGGUUUUGGAUGAGUUGGAUCGCAGAGUGAAGGAAAAGCAGCCAACAAGUGCUCAGCAUCUAUGGGAACUCCUUCAAGACUGUUGGAAAAGCAUUCCAGGUGAAGCUGGUUGAGAGAAUGCCAAGAGUGUGCAAAGCUAUCAUCAAGGGUGGCUACUUUGAAGAACCUCAAAUAUAAAAUAUAUUUUGAUUUGUUUAACACUUUUUUUGUUACUACAUGAUUCCAUGUGUUAUUUUAUAGUGUUGAUGUCUUCACUAUUAUUCUAAAAUGUAGAAAAUAUGAAAAAUAAAGAAAACCCUGGAAUGAG